AGAGAGAGACAUGCGCGCAUAUCAAUAAGCGGAGGAAAAGAAACUAACUAGGAUUCCCUCAGUAACGGCGAGUGAAGCGGGAAGAGCUCAAAUUUGAAAUCUUCAAGGUUCUACCUUGACGAAUUGUAGUUUAAAGAAGUGUUUUCUGUUGGAGUUUUGGUAAAAGUUCUUUGGAAUAGGACAUCAUAGAGGGUGAGAAUCCCGUAUUUGACCAUUAUUUCCAGCUUUGUGAUACACUUUCAAAGAGUCGGAUUGUUUGGGAAUGCAGUCCAAAAUGGGUGGUAAAUUUCAUCUAAAGCUAAAUACUGGCGAGAGACCGAUAGCGAACAAGUACCGUGAGGGAAAGAUGAAAAGAACUUUGAAAAGAGAGUUAAACAGUACGUGAAAUUGUCAAAAGGGAAGCGUUUGACACCAGUGUUGUUUUUCUGAAAAUCAAUUAAAAAAGGCAGGAUUUUGUGUUGUAUUGACUUUAUCAGCUUUCUGCACUCUUUUCUUGUCUUUUUUAAUGCACUUUUCGUUUAACAAGUCAACAUCAAUUUCUUUUGUUGUAAAAGGGUCAUUGGAAGGUGGCUUUCUUUUCGGAGAAAGUGUUUAUAGCCUUUGACUCCUGCAAUCGGAGAGACUGAGGUCUGCAGCGUAGAUCCUUCGGGGUUAGAUACAUUUGUGCUAAGUUAUAGCUUUUUAUAGACAACUUGUUGACUAUGAUUAGUCUUGUAGCCUACUCGCUUAUGCUAUUUUACCUACGCUUAGGAUGUUGAUGUGAUACUGCGAGC
rnacentral:rRNA from 1 species